UACGUAGGGGGCGAGCGUUGUCCGGAUUCAUUGGGCGUAAAGAGCUCGUAGGCGGCUUGGCAAGUCGGGUGUGAAAACUCCAGCUCAACCUGGAGACGCCACCCGAUACUGCCAUGGCUUGAGUCCGGUAGGGGACCACGGAAUUCCUGGUGUAGCGGUGAAAUGCGCAGAUAUCAGGAGGAACACCGGUGGCGAAGGCGGUGGUCUGGGCCGGUACUGACGCUGAGGAGCGAAAGCGUGGGGAGCGAACAGG
rnacentral:rRNA from 1 species